rnacentral:rRNA from 1 species
AGUGAACGCUGGCGGUAGGCCUAACACAUGCAAGUCGAACGGCAGCACAGUAAGAGCUUGCUCUUACGGGUGGCGAGUGGCGGACGGGUGAGGAAUACAUCGGAAUCUACUUUUUCGUGGGGGAUAACGUAGGGAAACUUACGCUAAUACCGCAUACGACCUACGGGUGAAAGCAGGGGAUCUUCGGACCUUGCGCGAUUGAAUGAGCCGAUGUCGGACUAGCUAGUUGGCGGGGUAAAGGCCCACCAAGGCGACGAUCCGUAGCUGGUCUGAGAGGAUGAUCAGCCACACUGGAACUGAGACACGGUCCAGACUGCUACGGGAGGCAGCAGUGGGGAAUAUUGGACAAUGGGCGCAAGCCUGAUCCAGCCAUACCGCGUGGGUGAAGAAGGCCUUCGGGUUGUAAAGCCCUUUUGUUGGGAAAGAAAAGCAGCAGGUUAAUACCCCGCUGUUCUGACGGUACCCAAAGAAUAAGCACCGGCUAACUUCGUG